AUGAACGCUGGCGGCGUGCUUAACACAUGCAAGUCGAACGAAGCACCUCUAAUCGAAGAUUGAGAAAGCUUGCUUUGAUUGAUUCACCUUGAGGUGACUGAGUGGCGGACGGGUGAGUAACGCGUGGGUAACCUACCCUAUACAGGGGGAUAACAGUUGGAAACGACUGCUAAUACCGCAUAAGCGCACGAAGACCGCAUGGUCUAGUGUGAAAAACUCCGGUGGUAUAGGAUGGACCCGCGUCUGAUUAGCUAGUUGGUGAGGUAACGGCUCACCAAGGCGACGAUCAGUAGCCGACCUGAGAGGGUGACCGGCCACAUUGGGACUGAGACACGGCCCAAACUCCUACGGGAGGCAGCAGUGGGGAAUAUUGCACAAUGGGCGAAAGCCUGAUGCCAGCGACGCCGCGUGAACGAAGAAGUAUUUCGGUAUGUAAAGUUCUAUCAGCAGGGAAGAAAAAUGACGGUACCUGACUAAGAAGCUCCGACUAAAUACGUGCCAGCCGCAGC
rnacentral:rRNA from 1 species